AUUCCAGCUCCAAUGGCGUAUAUUAAAGUUGUUGCAGUUAAAACGUUCGUAGUCGGAUUUCGGGGCGGGCCGACCGGUCUGCCGAUGGGUAUACACUGGCCGGCGCGUCCUUCCACCCGGAGACCGCGCCUACUCUUAACUGAGCGGGCGCGGGAGACGGGUCUUUUACUUUGAAAAAAUCAGAGUGUUUCAAGCAGGCAGUCGCUCUUGCAUGGAUUAGCAUGGGAUAAUGAAAUAGGACUCUGGUGCUAUUUUGUUGGUUUCGAACACCGGAGUAAUGAUUAACAGGGACAGUCAGGGGCACUCGUAUUCCGCCGAGAGAGGUGAAAUUCUCAGACCAGCGGAAGACGAACCACUGCGAAAGCAUUUGCCAGGGAUGUUUUCAUUA
rnacentral:rRNA from 1 species